GGUAGUGUGGCCGAGUGGUCUAAGGCGCUGGAUUUAGACUCCAGUCUUUUAGGAGGCUUGGGUUCAAAUCCCACCACUGCCA